rnacentral:lncRNA from 1 species
UCGCUUAGGGGUGGGCAAAUAACUCAAUCUGAUCUAAUAUAAAUAUUUAGAGUUUGAAUCGGAUGCAGAUUGGAGGUCAAAUCUGAUCUGAUUACUUUUUCUUAAUCUGAACAAAUUAUAUUUGGAUCUGAUCAAACUCGAUCCGAUCUGACAAUCCAAUCAGAUUGCCAAAAAAAAAGAAUCAUAAAAAAACAUGGAACUUAAAAACCUAAUUUAAGCCUAAGCCUAAGCCACCACCAUUGUCUAAAAAUCCAAAACCAAAACUCCAAUUCCAAAAGACCAACAUCACUGGCACCAAUCACCACCACCAAGCAGCCACUGUCCACUGCAAAAUCAAACCGACUAAUUGCACCAUAAUUGUCCACUGUACCAAGCCGUUAGCCUCUGUUUUGAUUGCACCAACCACCAACAAGUACAGUAGCUCCAUGGUUGCGCUAGCACACAACAAAUCCAUGUCACGCCAGCUGCCACUAAGCACAACAAAUCUGUGGUUGCACCAAGUUGCCAAGUCAGAAGCCUUUCUCUACUGUCAAAAUGGCAUUUUCCGUUAAAGUCUUUUACAGGUGAUGCUAGUCAUAUUGAGUUGUAGAAGUUAGUCGAUUCUUUUGAGGUUUGUGAUUGUUUUGUUGACAUGAGGUUGUUGUGAAGACAUUUGAAUUUGAUCUUGGCAAAAGGCAGGGGAAGAUGGAAGAAUUGUGAUUUUUAUUGUUCUUGUUGAAAUGAUAUGUAAUUAUGUAUUUAGCACUGGAUUAUUCAAUUUCUUGUGUUGAAACUGGAACUUAGAUAUAAGGUUCUUGUAUUUUUAAUCCAAUUUGUCAGUUUCGUUUGAUAUAUCUUUUCAAGUGGAGUUUAUUUAAAUGAAACUUUUAUA